UGAGAAGAAAUAGGGACAAAGGAUAUGAUUUUCUUAUUCAGCUUCCACUGAUCAUCUAUGAAAUGGGCUGUAAUGCACAUAUAAUUGAUCCUCUGCACAGAGGUCCAGGUAUCAAUGGUAAAGCUUAUUUGG